rnacentral:misc_RNA from 1 species
CGCACAUUGCGCCCUUUGGCAUUCCGAAGGGCAUGCCCGUUCGAGCGUCAUUAAAUCCACUCAAGCCUGGCUUGGUCUUGGGCGCCGGGAGACCUCCCGCGCCCCCAUUUCGCCGGCUGGCCGUCGUUUGACUUAGCGUUGUGACACAUGUCGCUGACGACGAAGACGGACCGCGCCGUGAGAACUCUCUUGAAUGUCCAUCGACAUUCAGUAAAGGUUGACCUCGGAUCGGGUAGGAAUACCCGCUGAACUUAA